GUAGAUAUAGUUUAACCAAAACGCUAGAUUGUGAUUCUAGUAAUAGGGGUUAGAACCCCCUUAUCCACC
rnacentral:tRNA from 1 species